CCUACGGGGGGCUGCAGUAACGAAUAUUGGGCAAUGGGCGCAAGCCUGACCCAGCAAUGCCGCGUGCAGGAGGAAGUCCUUCGGGAUGUAAACUGCUGUCAGGGGUCAACAAGCAAAGGGACCUAAUACGUCCUGGCGUUGAGUCGCCCCAGAGGAAGCCUCGACUAACUCUGUGCCAGCAGUCGCGGUAAGACAGAGGAGGCAAGCGUUGUUCGGAAUCACUGGGCUUAAAGCGCGUGUAGGCGGCUUGGUAAGUGUCGUGUGAAAUCCCAUGGCUCAACCAUGGAACUGCACGGCAAACUACCUAGCUUGAGGUCGGUAGAGGUGCCUGGAACUCUAGGUGGAGCGGUGAAAUGCGUAGAUAUCUAGAGGAACGCCAGAAGCGAAAGCGGGGCACUGGGCCGAUUCUGACGCUGAGACGCGAAAGCGUGGGGAGCAAACAGGAUUAGAUACCCGAGUAGUC
rnacentral:rRNA from 1 species